GAUGAACGCUGGCGGCGUGCCUAAUACAUGCAAGUCGAGCGAACAGAUGAGGAACUUGCUCCUCUGACGUUAGCGGCGGACGGGUGAGUAAAACGUGGAUAACCUACCUAUAAGACUGGGAUAACUUCGGGAAACCGGAGCUAAAACCGGAUAAUAUAUUGAACCGCAUGGUUCAAUAGUGAAAGACGGUUUUGCUGUCACUUAUAGAUGGAUCCGCGCCGCAUUAGCUAGUUGGUAAGGUAACGGCUUACCAAGGCAACGAUGCGUAGCCGACCUGAGAGGGUGAUCGGCCACACUGGAACUGAGACACGGUCCAGACUCCUACGGGAGGCAGCAGUAGGGAAUCUUGCGCAAUGGGCGAAAGCCUGACGGAGCAACGCCGCGUGAGUGAUGAAGGUCUUCGGAUCGUAAAACUCUGUUAGUAGGGAGGAACAAAUGUGUGAGUAACUAUGCGCGUCUUGACGGUACCUGAUCAGAAAGCCACGGCUAACUACGUG
rnacentral:rRNA from 1 species